rnacentral:rRNA from 1 species
UACAGAGGUCUCAAGCGUUGCUCGGAUUCAUUGGGCGUAAAGGGUGCGUAGGCGGCGCGGUAAGUCGGGUGUGAAAUCUCGGAGCUUAACUCCGAAACUGCAUUCGAUACUGCCGUGCUUGAGGACUGGAGAGGAGACUGGAAUUUACGGUGUAGCGGUGAAAUGCGUAGAUAUCGUAAGGAAGACCAGUGGCGAAGGCGGGUCUCUGGACAGUUCCUGACGCUGAGGCACGAAGGUCAGGGGAGCAAACGGG